ACUUAGCGGCGGACGGGUGAGUAACACGUGGGUAACCUGCCUAUAAGACUGGGAUAACAUUCGGAAACGAAUGCUAAUACCGGAUACGCGAUUUGGUCGCAUGAUCGAAUCGGGAAAGAUGGAGCAAUCUAUCACUUAUAGAUGGACCCGCGGCGCAUUAGCUAGUUGGUGAGGUAACGGCUCACCAAGGCGACGAUGCGUAGCCGACCUGAGAGGGUGAUCGGCCACACUGGGACUGAGACACGGCCCAGACUCCUACGGGAGGCAGCAGUAGGGAAUCUUCCGCAAUGGACGAAAGUCUGACGGAGCAACGCCGCGUGAGUGAUGAAGGUUUUCGGAUCGUAAAGCUCUGUUGCCAGGGAAGAAUGCUUGGGAGAGUAACUGCUCYCAAGGUGACGGUACCUGAGAAGAAAGCCCCCGGCUAAC
rnacentral:rRNA from 1 species